UUGAGUUGUGAGCCUGCUGUCUGCAGCUCCUGAGUUGAGUAGGUGCCAGUGAUCUCUGUGACAAAGCAAGCCUGCUGUUCCUCUGCACCUGGGUCCAGUCCUUCAAGAGUGCACCUUGACAGAAUGACCCACUCUACACCCCAUGGACCCAGGGAAGGGUCCGAGCUUUUCCAGUCUUUAUUUAGGAUUUUUUUCCCCUGAGGUUUUCUGUGUCAACAAGAUCUGCCUCAAGAGUCUUGAGCUCCUAGUCUACCUUGUGUAUUUCAGCCCUGCCUUGGGCCCAUCACAGCAGUUCUGGAUUCUCCAGUGCUGCCUCUAGCUCCAGAUCUGUCUUGUGUUUUUUCAGACCUGACUCAAGAGCUCCCUGGGCUGUCAAGGUCCUGGCCUUGGAGAUGGAGGGACUGCCGUGAACCCUGUGGCUUGCCAUAGAGGUUACGUUGAAGACCCAGACCUGGAGUUACACACUGACUUUGGUUCUUUAGGGAAAUGGGACCGGCUCUCAAGGCCUCGCGACUGCCAUUUUUUGAUAUGCCAAGGACGAGGCCUAGAAGACUAGCGCACCUUCAGGGUGGGGUUGGAUUUUCGUGGCUCUGGAGGUGGGUGGAUUCAAGAGCCUGCAAACCUAACCUGUCUGUUACACUUCAAGCUUACUCCCUACAAACAAAAACAUGUAUUUGGUACAAAAAUAUUUUCAACACAUUAAAAUCAUUACCUUGAU